GGGUGGAACCGAUUCAACCUUAGACUUCUUGGAGUGAUGACGGUGAAUUGAGAACACCCAUUUAAGAUGGAAAAACCAAUGAACUUGAUAAGAGAAAUGGACACUACCUGGAACAGAAAUUGGAGGAUGGGUAUGAUUCUUGCCUUUGAAUUGAAUCUAUCGAAGUUUCAGAAAGAGUAUUUGAGGUGUCAUUAAAAAGUUAUGGGCAUGCACAACUCAUUCCCAAAACUGAAUUUUUUGCUGUCAAAAUUCUUGGAGAAGAGAAAUGUAGAAAGAGAUAACUCAACUCAACUCAACUA
rnacentral:misc_RNA from 1 species